UACAGAGGAGCCAAGCGUUGUCCGGAUUGACUGGGCGUAAAGCGCACGCAGGCGGUGGUGCGCGUGGGGUGUGAAAUCUGGCCGCUUAACGGCCAGGCGCCAUCCCAUACGGCACGACUGGAGGGCUGCAGAGGUCGAUGGAAUUGCCGGUGUAGUGGUGAAAUGCGUAGAGAUUGGGAAGAACACCAGUGGCGAAGGCGGCUAUCUGGACGGUUUCUGACGCUAAGACGCGAAAGCGUGGGGAGCAAACAGG
rnacentral:rRNA from 1 species